AGUAUCAGGCUCUCGCAGGAGAGGAAGAACCGACACUCCGUCGCUUAGCGUAGCAUUCUUUUUAAUGAUCUUCGGAACGCUAGCCCGCGCCGGAACGCGCCAGCCGCUCGAGCCUCGUGUAGACGCGAGCGUCCGCGUCAACUCUCGUGCGACGCCGAUGCUGCUGCCGCUACAGAGGGCUCCCCCCCUCUGUUCAAGAUCACACUGCCAUUCUGAGAUUUUCAAGCUGUGGGACCCCGUUUAUUUCAAGCGAAAGCUCUUUUUGGUGACACAGUGCGACAAUGUAAGAAGGAAGUACUCGCAAACCUCAAAGUUGUACCGCCUCACCUGCUAAGCAAGGUAGUAAGGACUGCAUGUGAUCUCUACAAUGAAUGCAAGCAGAUAUCUCAAGACAGCGAGCUUGAACCGGUGAUCGAUUGUUGCGUAUCAGGAAUCAGAAACAAGAGCGGGCCAUUCUACACAAAAUUGAAAUUGCCUGAUGCGUUCCAACAAGCUGCAAUAAACAGCUUGAUGUGCAUGGUGAAAGUUGCCCAAGAACGGCGUGUCGGUCUACAAGCCUUUGACGACGCCUUCGCAAUAAUGCGAAAAACAGCCCUAACGUAUGGAUGGACCUGAAUGAAGAAUAUUUCCAUACAAGCGCCAGCAAUCAAUAAAUUUUCAAGAUUGCAAUUCCAAACCAACUACUCCGAACGCUUUAUUAUU